AUAGAUUGCGCCGCAGUGAGUUCAUGGUGGGCUUUCAUUGUGGGUGGAAGGCGUGUGGAAAAAAGUACCUGAGGAAACUGAAGUAACUCUAAAUAUGAAUUGUGCCUGCGCAUACCCCGAGAACUGGUGGAAGGAGGAAUAUAGAACCACAAUUCUGAGCAGUGACAAGGGAGCCUGGGAAGCGGAGAGCCGAGAUACUGAUGCGCGUGUGCUGUUCCUCUGAGGUGUUCGAUGUUGAUUUUGUUCAUUUUGUCUCGUCUCGCCACGUCAAGAGCACGCUACAUCCUCGUCCUCGGUCCUGCCUCUUAUUACUCACACCACUCACACGGAGAGACAGACACACACACGGACCGUAAGCGACGCGGGGACCGGACAAGGCUAACGACGAGCGGACGAGCGAACAAGCAUGGUCAAGCACUAGCAAAGGAAUGAUGGAAAGAUGCAUCCACCAUGUUUAAAUACUCAUGCAUUACAGGAA